GGGAGACUGUUUCCAUUUCGAGAUCCCACCUCUUCACUCCGCGGAGACCAACAUCCCGAACCUGGCGAGCACUCGCUCGUUUCUCCCACCUACCCCACCUUUGCUGUCCACAAGAAAUAAGGCGGCGGGGAGUGGGGGUGCUUAGAGAGGACGCCUGGGUUCUAAAAGGGGAAAACCGCCCUCGGCACUCAGGCCUUUGGCCACCUCCCUCGUUCCUUCGGGAGGGACCAAGGAUGCCUUGGAUUGCUCUGGAGCUGGGGGACGGGAGGACAGCGCUCCCGGGCGGGGCGAGGGGCUGCCUGUUCCCUCUCACUCCCUCUUACUUUAGGGUACCGGAUGGUAUCGCUCCCACCCCAACCCAGGCGCAGGUUCCAGAAGGCGGGCUGGGUGGGUCUCCAGGUUUCCAGAGGGCAGGUUGCGUAGCAGGUGUGUGGUGGGCAUUUCUAUUUUCUAAGUCUUGCAUUUGGUGGGACGACGUGGGUAGUCUUAAAGUGAUUGGAUGUUCAGAGCUGCGUCUUAAUUUGCUUUUUUUUGCGAAUUAGGGAGAAAAAUCAAGACCUUACCUCCCCCCCUUCCCCCCGUUCCGCUGUAAAAUAUCUGAUUCAGCUCGAAGCUAAGCAGAAGGGUGAGUGGGGAUAUGUAAGGGUGAGGGUGAGCUUCGUCAUGUGGAAAACAAAGCUUCUGACAGCUUGUGGCCAUCCCCUGGUCCCCCCACCCCGGCGGAAUAGGUGGGUCGGGUGGCCGGAGAGGGGUGACAUGCCAUGGGGUGGGAGCGGCUCGGGAACCCUAAGUGCGCGAGGGUCCGCAGCCCUUGUCAGUGCAGCGAGGAGGCGGCCACGUGAGGGUGGUCUGCGGAAGCGCUGGAGCCAAAGGAUGGGGGUGAAGUGCGUAGCAGAGUCGUGACGGGCGCUGACACGAAGCCGCCGUGGGCGCUGGGCCGAGGAGGAGCGGACACUGGCGGCCGGACCCCAGAACCGUGGCGACGUUUUCUUCCGAUCGGCAGCCGGAGCCGGGCGCCUCCCACGCAGGGCCGGCGUCCCGGCCGCGGGUGGGUGCGCACUCCCGGGCCCUCUCCCGGGAGACCGUUUCCGGGCGGGGUCCCCGGCCGGGAGCAAGGGCUGUAAACAGGGUGGCGCCCUCUGCCCUCCCGCCCCCGACCGGCCGGGGCGCGCGGCCGCGGCGCUGGGCAGUGGCGGCGGGGGCGCGCCCGCUCCCGCCACCCCCGCGCGCCCCGCCGCCGCCGCCGCCCGGCAGGCCGGCCUGCUCUGUUUUUGUUUUGAUUGAGCCCGCGUGCAGCUGGCGCGUGUCGAGUCACGUGCCGUGGGCGGGAGGGGGCUGGGGCGCGGGAGCGGGGGCGCUGUGACGCACGCGUCCGGAGGGCCCGGCGCCCGCGGGGGCCGGGGAAGAGGGGCGAGGGGGCGUGUGCCCCAGACGAUCCCGGGCGCGCCCGUGUCAAGGCGCGUCCGGCGGGGUCCAAGGGAGGUGAUGCCGGUGAGCAGGGCUCGGACGUGGGUGUAAAUCCCCGCGCUUGGAGUCCGUGGUCACAGCGUCUGGGCGAGCCUCCUGCGCCCGGGCCGGCCUGCGCUGAUUCGGUCGGAGGUCUCUCAGACCUCACCGGCGCGGCGCUCUCUUUGGCUGGCAGAGAACUACGCGUGGUUCUUAAUCCUGUUUAUACAUACAAGCAACUGAAUAGCUUCAGAAAGAACUCCGUUGCCCGGCCCCGUUCCAGACCAGUGGAACCCCAAUCUACCCCGGGCCUGGACAUGGUGCAUUAGAAAAAAGACCCUCCCUAAGUAUUUCUGAUGCACAGGGAGGGGGUCAGAACUUAUCGAAGUAACCAGCUUGAUGGAAUAGAUAGUUGUGAAACCACCCAUCUUUAGAGACGAAAUAGUAAAAAUAGCUAACACGUAUUGAUUGUCAUUUUACAAUUGGGGAAAUUGAGGCUUAGGAGGUAAGUAAGAAUUGGUCAGUGACGAUCUCUGACUAGUACUCGGGGAGGCUGACUCCAGAACCCAUACUUUCAGCCAUGCUGUCUUGGAAAUAGGUCUUUACGUAAGGGCCACAUGUUUGCGUGAAUAGCAAUAGUUAUAUGUUUGCCUGCAGGCUAGCGAGUCUGUAUACAGUAUUUACCUAUGUAUUUAUGUAUUUUCAUCUGGAAAGUUGUGCUUGUACUAAAGCGGGGAGAAUCACUUGGUGAAUUUGUUAAGGUAUGUAGGCUACUAACGUUUUCAGGAAGUUUAUAGUGAAGAGAAGAGAGGGGACCCCAGUAAUUUGAAAAGAACACAUUCCAUGGGAGUUUUUUGUUUUGUUUUUAGACGUAAACAUGUGCAAAGUGAAGGGAAGAGUCGAGAAGAUUCAGGUAUUUUCCAAGGAUUUGCAUACGCAGCCGCAGAAGUCCUUUCGGUUGCUGGCACGAUACAAUCUUGUGGUCAUAGGCUGGGUGUAGCCCAAAGUGGGGGGCAGUCUACAGAGGAGCAGAAGCUCUGCCGUGAACAUUUGGGAGCAAAAUAACUAUUACUCUGGUGUAGAGUACAGAAGUUCUGCUUCUACAUUCCUCUUCUCCCUUUGCUUUAUUUCAUUUGUCUCCUGGUCAGAUGAACUCUUACAGGGACUAUUUAGAUGUGAGGGUAACCCAUCUGUUCUGAACAUGUGUUUAUUGAUAUAUUCUCUAAAGAUAUUCCAAAUAAAACUCCCAGGAAACAGGUCUUUCCCUGAAAACAAAGGGCUCCUAUUACCGUGUUUUUGCAACCAAUACGUAUUAUUAGAUGAUACUGUGUCACAAAGAAAUGUCUUUGUAUUCCUACUAAUGGUUGCUGUCUAAUAGUGUUAGUUGUGUGGCAGACAUAGGCAUGUUACUUGGGAAAUUUAAGGAUUGGUUUUACGGUGCUUGCAGUUUGGGUGAGCAAAGUUUGUAGACCCACCAGGGCAAGCCUGACGUAAGCAUGAGUGUUGGCAGUCUGGCAUGGAAACAGCUCUCCAACCCCGUCUCCUUCCCUCCCUUGUCAUCCGCGUCCCUCUUGACCACCAAAGCCACAUUUCUCCGGCAUUGCCAAACCACCCGUAUUUCCUUUGCACAGCUCUGCCUAGGUUGCUCGUGGGCACCUCCUUCAGGAAAUUUUCCCUGAUUUCUCCUCAGAAAACAUUGAAAAAUCCCUUCCCUGUGUCACCUCUGUGUCCUGUGCAUGUUUGUCUCACUGCAUUUAUCACGACCUGUCAUAUUGUUUUUGUUGACACGUUGGAUACCCCUACUAACUGAGCUCAUCAAAAUUGGAAAUGGGGAUUAUUUAUCUGUGUGUGUCUGACACACAGUAGGUUCUUAAGUUCAUUGCGUCGGUCUGAACUGAAUUUGAGUUGCAUUAUUUGUGUUGAUAUUUGCCUGUGUCACCCGUCUUCGUUAACCGUCUUCACCUCCUCUGCUACUAGCUACUAGGCUGAAAACCCACAUCCUUGCACAGAGAACGCAGAAUACCACCAACACAUUCUUGUAAAAGGAGUAGGAGGGAGAGGGCAAAAUGGAAUCAGUUUUUCACUUGUGUCCCAAUUUUGUUCUUGACUGACCACUUGGGUGGCAUGAAUUUUCUUGGUUACUCAUGCACACUGGAAGAGAUACUUAAUAUUGUCACGUUCAACUUAUUUAGGAAGGAAGAAAUGGCGCUGCGUUACCGAUGGACAGACGUCUGUGUGCAGUGGCAGAAUACAGACUCUUCGUCACAUUUCAUUACCCCAUAAUAUUCAGGAGCAGAGUGGAGUGAUGACGAGUAAUUAUGAUUAUGAAUAAUUAUUUACAAAUCAAAUGGAGUUGAGCCCUUGGCGUGUAAACUGAAUGGAAGUCCCCACCACCAAGCCUCCCUGGAAUGGUACUUCUACUCAGUUCUUGGACUGAGGGAUGAAAUGGGAUUUUACCUCACUUGUUUUCAGGAAAUCUUUUCACUGCACCUUAUUCACGCUGUUCAGGGUUAGAAGAGAUGGCGUACUUUACCAUCUGGAGUUUCUCUGCCUCGUUGAUGAUGGAAGCGCAAACCUGCCGGUUUAUAGGAGAUGAUAGAUAACACCUUGUAACGUCUGAGAGAAAAAUGGAAGAAACAGAAGAACUUUUAAUGAAACAGAAUAAAGCACUGAACAGGUAACUAACCUUAGCGGGGGUUGUGUAUACAUUAAUUAAGUGAGUUCAUAUUUGUGAAGUCCUUAGAAGAGUACCAGGCACAUAGUAAAUGUAUAAGUUUUUGGUAUCAUUCUUUUACAUAUACCUGAAUCCAAAACAAACCAGUCAUACAACCAAAAACUACCCAACAAAAACAAACCCUUUGCUCCUAAAGCAAGUGUGAACAUCAUUGGUAAGUUCUGAUGUUGUCUCUGUGUGACCUGAUAUAGUGGCCUGAGAAACCUAAUUUCUUAAUCUUUGAGCACCCUGACUAUUUGAACACACAUUCAUUUUUGUUUUUGAGCACUCAUUCAUGAUGACCUUAUAAGUGUCAGAUCAGUUUCAAUUUUGAAACAAAACAAGUCUCUUUAAAACUCUUGGCGAGAUGGUUCUUCAUUGCUUGGGGAAGUGGAACAUAGCUUAGUUUACGGGUAGCCACUGAAAUGGCUAAUGGAGGGUUAGUAAAGACAGAGAGAAGGGCAUUGAGAACAGCACUCCUGUUUUCUGAUGAUGGCAGGUGAUGACUUGAAAUAAGAGGUUUCAAACUGUUGACCCUGCUUAGUGUCAAGACCUACUGACACAUUCCACAGACAUUGGUAAGGGGCAUGUUAGGUGCCUCAUGCUCUGCUGGGGGUUGGGAUUGCAGAGUUGAACACAUCGCCUUUCUCCUCUCCCACCCCAUCUCUCUGGAUCUACUCCGGUUCCUGCCUUUUUCACCUUGCUGUGGGGAGACCAGGGUCACUUGGCCACAGCGAUGCUCUAGAUGCCACCUUCCCUCUCAUCUUCAUCUCUUCUGUCUCCCCUGCUCCUCCCUCUCAACAUACCACAUGAUUUAUUCAGGAUGGGGAGAAAAACACCGGUUUAUUUAUUUAUUUAUUGAGGUGUAGGGCUCACACUCCAAUUUGAUAGAUGGAGACCUUUCUCCAGAUGUCACUCAUAUUGUACCUUCCUUCGCCCUGACUUCUCUUUCACAAUUUAUGUAGUUUAUCUUAAAUGCUCCGUCGUGUUGUAUUUUGCCAUCUUUCCCUUCUGGGAUAUUAUCUUUGGAAGUUACUUUUCUGUUUGGAGGUGUUACAGAUGACGCUAUUAACUUGAGCGAGGCCGGCACUGCUAGUGCAUGCAACGUGUUACUGGCUUUCAAACCUUGUUAUUGGAACCCACAGAAAGAAAUAUGUGUUACGUUAGGACCCAGUGCCUGCAUCUGUACAUGUAGCUGUAUGGUUUCCUGAAAACUUUACUAUAUGUGAGUUGUGAUAGAAUUUUCUAGUCUAUUGUAUUCUGUCGCUUAUUUUUUUUCUUUUUUUCUCUCUUCUUUUUAAUGCUCCUCAUAACCUUCAGAAUGGGUUUCAUAAUCUACUAGUCAGUUGUACUUUGACAAACUUGCAAUAGCUUUAUGCUAUGGUAGCGUCACAUGCUUUCUUGCCUUUUUCUCCCUUUUCUGUGGUAAUGUGCACAAGUCUCUUUUAUCCCUAAAAACCCCCUCAAACUUGCCUUAAUUCUUUAUGUGCAAAACUCUCUCCUUCGUUUUGUAGCUAAGCUUCUGUUUCUGUUUUCUCACAUACCAUUCACUCCUCAACUUUAUUUCUGUUUGAACUUUGACAUUCCUUUCCUGACCAAUAGCAAAGAAUCAUUUUAUUUACCAUUUUGAAUGAAAUAGAUUCCUCUGUAUUGUUAGCUCUUGUGUAUUAAAUAUAAUUUUCAAAAAAGUAGCACCUUUAUUUUUCAUUAAUUCCUAUACUUGUUUAGAUCCCCAUAUUUAAUUUCUCAGAAACAUAACUAUUCUGAUGGUCUAAUCUCACAAUCUUUGUCCUUACAUGGUCCGGGAAUCAUAGAAUUAUAGCAAUGAUGAGGGUUUUUAAAACCUUGUUAUCAUUUUGGUUGCUGUCAUGGGCUGCAGAGAGACACCUGCUGGCCCAAAUGUAGUAGUGCAUUGAUUUUCUGUCCUGAAGUCCAUCAUAUUGUCACUUUUAGGACCUUAAACUUUCGUGGUAUGCACGUAAGCUUGUAUAUUGGAAUGCGUUGACAUCCAGUCUCAAGUGUUUUUAGGGUUUCCAGCUUAGUAUCUAAUGAACUGAAACAUUCGUACCAUAUCACCCCGUCAAGGAGCUGAUCUUUAAUGGGGAAGAAGGAUUUCAUGGUAAAACUUGAUUCCUUACCUUUGUGUGUUCUUAAUGGGACUAGAAACGGAUGGUUUAGUAAACCACCCAGAGCCAGCAUCCAUUUAAGACUUUGGGAAAUGAUCAUUCACUCUUCCAAGAUAGUUAAGAACUGGAGUUUUAAAUGGUGUGGGUUUGCAGCUUGACUUGUUAUAUGAGGCAUACAUUUGGUCUUAGUUAUAGGUCUAGUGCUGGAAAAACAAGAAUCUAAAAGCUACUGCCUAUUUUGAGCCCCUAACUAGAAGAUCCCAGUGACUUUUGUGUACUGCUUAUUUUAGCAAAAUUCUCAUUGAUUUCAGAAGUUUAUUUAUGAAGAAUCAUAAUUAUGCACAUCUCUAAGAUUAUACAGCGCAUUCAACAAAUGUUAAAGAUUAUAAUGUACAAAGUGAUUCUUUUUAAAAAAACUGAGCCAGUAUUCACUGGUCUUUAAGGACUAUUUCCAAGGUUUAUAGGCAAUAAAUGAGGCAGCAUACCCCAGUUUUCUGUGUUGAAAAGAUCUCAUUUGAGAAGUCAUAGAAGUUUCUAAAUAUUUUUUUAUUGAAGCCAAGGCAAAGUUUAGGGUUUGGUUUAGGGUUAUAGUUUGGUUCUUUGAGUACGUUCUAAUUUCAGUCAUAAUUAAUGAAGCCUUUCCAUAUCAUUAUGAAUGUAGCAGGUUUGCUGAAAACUUAUUUUACAAUUAUUUUAAGUGCCAUAUAGCACAAUUUGGGUUACUUCUUUUGUAGUAUCUAGAGUAUGAAAAUACUCUGAGAAUUAAGCAGCAGACUUUAAUAGCUAAAUGUUAAGGUGUAUUUAUCAAAAUCUUUUGAAAAAAUCAUCUAGGAUUCUGUUUUGAUUUUCCCUUUUUUUACUUUCUAACACAAAUUUUAAUGAAUCAUAAAGUGUUUCUUCUAUUAAAUAAGUAGAACACAUACAAUAUUAAAAAUUUCUGAUGUUUUCUUCUUAACCUCGAGUUAAGGGACACUAAGUUCUUCCUGGACAUCCACUCCUCAGAUAUAUUCUUCCUUCUUUUGCCCAGUAAUCAUGUUGAAGAUUAAUUAAAUCAGUCCAGUAUUCUAUGGCCUUGUGCAUUUCUCUCUCUUGAGUUAGGACACAGUUAGGACCAUCUCUGCAUGGAAGAGGGCCUGGACAGGUCCAGGGGAUGCAGUGGCACUUUCCUGGCAGUUGUAUCAUUUCAAGAUAGUUGAGGCCAGUCCUAGGAAAAGGCCAAAAGGGCUAGACUGAUAGGUGGUCCUGAGCUCUCUCUAACCUGAGAAGAAACAAAAGGGAAUAACACCGAGCUAAUGGAAAAUCCAGUCUUGGAAAAACUGAAUAAGCAGCUCCUGUAGAAAAGCCAUGAAGACACAUCCUUGCUGCCUUUCCCAAGAUAGCAAUGGACUGCAGCGCCCACAUCACCGUCAUUGCUGCAACUGCUCGAACGCUCAUCUCGUGUUUACUGUUACAGGGAAUUCUUUUCAUUCUCUUUCCUCUUAGCUUUGAGACACCCUACUACUUGUUCUCAUUCCUCUCUGAUUAUUUCUUCCAAGUAGCUUUAUAAGCCACCAUAAAACCUUGGUGUUAUCGCUCCGUCUUCCCUUUGUCCGUUCCAUUCCUGGUUGGUGAACUCACAGGAUUAGCACGGCAUAGCAGAGUCAGGUGCGUAGAAAGUAAUGUGAGAGAGGCUGCAAAUAAAUACUUCCAAAGCCCUACAUUUGAAUCCCAACUUUUCAAAAAAACGAAGAAAUCAUAAAAAGAGCCUUUAACUAGAAAUUUUGUUGUCGUUAUUUGGAAGGAAUUCUAAGAGUGAAUUCCAGCCUGUUUCCUAACCUGUCCUUGUUUAUUCAGAGUACCCGCAACAUGCCUGGAAGCCAAUAGAAAAACAGCAGACUGUUUAUGUUAUUCCCUUUAACCAACAGCUUUGAGAGUAUACAGAAGAGGGAGCUAAAUGCUUGCCCCCCGCCGUGCCUCCAGUUCAUAAGCGCUUGUCUCUUCUCCCCUCCUUUUCGAAGUUGAACUAAGCACCAUAGGCCAAGACGAUACUGGCUUCAGAGAGGAGCCGAACUGAAAAGGAUAUUAUUGAUAGUUCCAGGGGACAAAUUAUGGCAGAAAUGUGAACAGUAUUUGGGGACAAAAAUACUGUGUUUGAGUUUAAUAACCCCAAACAAGAAGAACAACAUGUCUUUAAAAAGUAUUUCUUAAUUCAGGCAGUUUUUCUGGCUGUUUUCCUCUGUUCAUUUUCUGAGAGGGAAACUGAAGUGAAAAUAGAGGCUGUUCCUCCUUUCUCAGGGAGCCUAGAUUGAUCAUGGAAAGUGUGAGCUGCCACGUUAGGUAGCCAAGCACUUCUUUUAAAAGUGUGAAUGAAAGAAAAAGAAGAUGGUAAACAACAAGAUACGAAACAGUACGUGUGUUAUGGGUUACUAGUUUUGAACUUCAGUGCUUAACAAUGGUAAAGUCUAGGUAUUCAUGUUGUUGUCAUGAAAUAAGGUAAGUGAAAUGCUUGAUUCAUUGUAAGUGCUCAAAACAUAGCAGCCACUAUUGUUACCAUGGACAAAGGUACUCAGUGACACUCUCAGUAAAUUCUUUUGGUUGUGUUUCUUAUCGUUAGGGAUUAAUUUGUUUUGGUUUGUCCUAUAUUUCUUUGUGAUUAUUGUUUUCUUUGCCAUACAAAUUAUGUUGAUAACAUUUAUUAUUUCCUAUGCGCUAAGCAUUGGGUGAAGAGCAUGAGGGUGGAUACUGCUGUCAUCCCAGUUUUCUAGAACGGUCAUGGUAUCAGAAGGCUUACUUAGGUUGGUGCGUGAAAGAAUAGUCACCUAACCCCUGAUGGGAAUCAGCGAUAACCAUAGUCUCAUGAGAACCAUAUGCUAGUUGGCUCCAAAUAAUGUUGCAGCAAUAUUUAAAGCUUUUGGUUUUAACACUGUUGAUUAGCUGUGAUAGCCACACAAGGAAAGUAUACUCCUUGUUAAAACAGAGGAGGUUUUAACAGAAUAAAAAAUAACUCAGAUUUUCCUAAGUUUGGAGCAUUACUUUAAUAAUCUUGAGGUUAAAGAUUUUUAAGUAAAUAUUUGCAAAUUUAUAGUCUACUCUGUAGUCCUCAGGGAUAGGAUAGCGUAAUAUUAAAAAAAAAUUGAAAGGAGCAUUCCCUUUUAAAAUGUAUGUAAUCAACAUGAUUCGUAUAUUUCCUGAAAUUUGGUAUUUUCAGUUGUACCGUACAUCUUGCUAUUUCAGUAGGAAGUGGACCCUUCGGGCAGACAAAUUCCAAAAGAUUUCAGUAUUUUGGCUAUGUCUAAGUGAAUAAUUGGAAGAAAAUAUAUCCAGUACCUCUGAUUGAAGGGGCAAAUAUAUCUAGAAUCAGAGUUCAGCUUACCACUUUAAUGGAAGGGAACGUUAACGUGGGUGAUCAAAAGUUUUCGGGGCCGGCCCGGUGGCGCAGCGGUUAAGUGCGCACGUUCCACUUCGGUGGCCCAGGGUUCACUGGUUCGGAUCCUGGAUGCGGAUAUGGUACCACGUGGCAAGCCAUGCUGUGGUAGGAAGAUGGGCAUGGAUGUUAGCUCAGGGCCAGUCUUCCUCAGAAAAAAGAGGAGGAUUGAUAGAUGUUAGCUCAGGGCUAAUCUUCCUCAGAAAAAAAACUAUCAGUGUCAGAGCAAAGCAGGUGGUUAACACUUGAGUCUGUCUUGAUAAGGCUCCUGUCUCUCCUCCCCCUCCAUUCCCAUCUUUUUUUCUUUUUUUAAGGUAAAAUUAUGGUAGGAUUAAGAUUAAAGACAUUUGAAGGAGAAAAUAAGUCACAAAAUACUUUGAAUUGAAGCAUCUGAAUUUGGAAUUGGAGGAAAGGUUAGAGGACAUUCGCCUUAACCUUUUCAGUUUACAGAGAAGGAAACUGGAUUUCUGAGAGCUGAUGGGACUUGCCAUAGAGCUGUUACAGGCAGGACUGCUGCUGACAGGGGAAUAGCACUUCUUUAAUCGCAAGUUUUAAUGAUUCUUUUUCAGCCUUAUUGAGGUAUAAUUGACAAAUAAUCGUGUAAGAUAUUUAAAAUGUACAACGUGACGAUUUGAUAAGCCCAUGCAUUCUGAAAGGGUUCCCGUCACCUUCAUAAUUUUCAAAUAGGAAUAUGAAACCUCAGUCUCGUUUUUCUUCUGUUUUUUUAACACACUACUUGGAAAGUGUGUGUCUUAGCAAAAUGUAGUGGAAAGCAGAGCCUACUCAUAGCCAGGUCACUGUGUUUUCCACUCCGCUAGUUGGGAGGCAGCCUGACAUGUGCACAGAUAGCAAAGGAAGAGAGAAGCACCAUCUUUGCCUCAAUGACAGUCAAAGUUUUAUGGGAUAAUUUUUAAACCUGGAACCACUUGCUUUUCUGACAACAGUUGCUCCCUGAGAAGUUCCAUGUCUUUCUCAGCUGUGUGUACCCCUAUUCAACCCAGAAAACAAUACUCCCAAUUCGUAUAUUCUAGAGAGGCCUCUGGCAGAUCCCCUCAAUAAACAAAAUGCUCCUGUUGAGAAGGUUCUUAUCCAUAUUAUUUUCUCCUGGAAGAGAAGCGGCUUUAGCGUUGGCCAUUGGCUUAUUAUUACUGCAGUGUGCUUGCUGAGGCUGCGGUUUGACAUUGACUCUCCUCCCCUGCCCCGUAAAUCAUUCAGCUUCUCAAUUAAAAAAAGUCAAAUUCCCACAACCAGCUACUGCUCUCGCCUGGAUGGCUGCCUCGAAAAUGAAUGCUCUUGGUUCCAAGUACAGUUCAUGAAACAGGGUACAUGGGGCAGGAAAAUGAACAUCAUCACCAAAAAAAGUCCCAAUAUGUAAUACCACUAGUAAAAAGUGUCAUAUUCGUAAAGUGCAGACAUUACUACUCUUUUAUCCAAAAGCUGUAUCUUUCUUAGAAGCUGAUUGACUAGAUUGGUACAUACUUGAAUCAUCCUUUUUUUAAAAAAAAAAACAAAAAACUACAGGAAAUGUACCCUAACCCAUGUGAAAAGUAUUGGUUUUAGACAUAAUGAGUACCUGGUAGAAGUAAACGGUUUAAUCUGACCUGGAAAAGAUGUAACCUAAAUAUACCUAAAAAUAACCUCAAAAUUAUUAUAGUGAUAAAUAGCCAAAUCAUAUUUUUGGCUUCUGGUAUGACAUUGACACUGGUAUGUAGACAGUUAUUAUUCAAUUAGAAAUUUUAUUUUGACAGCAUUCUGCCUUACAUAUAUUUUUAAAAAGGAGUGUUAAACCAUUGCCUUCCUUGUAACAGACCGCCGAGAAUGUAUAUAUAGCAGUGUGAUUAAAGCAUUGCCACAACAUACUUAAACCUCAGACUUUGUCUGUUAUCUGAGUAUUUCAUUGUAUUCUGAAAGAAUCCUGAAUUAUUCUAAUAAUUUAAUCCUCCAUAUCACAAUGUACAUUAUGCAUAAUACAUCAGUAUACCUUAUUUUUUUUAACAAUUUUUUAAAAGUUUUUUAAUAAUUUUUUUUUAAGUUUGGAAGAUAUUAUGUUUGGCCACAAGGCGCUUUCAUUGAGAAAAGUUUCAAAUUAUGUGGCCAAGUGAAUAGUGGUCAAAGACCUAAAUAUUAUUUCUCUUUUGUUCCAGGAUCCGUUUGCACUGGCCAUUCUAAUUCAGAUGAUAGAAGAGGAGGAACAGAGCCUCCUUCUUUGAAUUUGUGGGAGCACAUAGUAUUUGCCCUGCUUUAAACACACGGACCUGGUAGCUAGGAGAAGUAACCAUGCUACCCAGAACAAUGUUGAUUUUUACUUAUUUUAGUGUCUGUAUAGGCCCUAUCCACAGGGGUAUAUAACUGGAAGACAAAGGUGGGUAGAUUGGAGGAAAGAGAAGUCUUUGGUACCUAAUUCUUUCGUAUUUUUCUGAAACCUGGUGGUGCACUCGUCACAGUGUAUAUUAUCACUGCGAUUUCUUUGGAUCCUAUUUGAAACUAAUGAGGAGGGUAACAUAAGUGGGUGCAAAGAAAGAAAUGCCCCUCCGAGCUCUGAAUCAGCUAGACUGGCAGUAACCCCCAUGGCUACAGGAUUCACUGGCUGAGGAGAUGAGACAUGGAAGAUGUGUCAGACGUGAUGGGCUAAUAUAAAAGUUGAUGUACCAGCACCUAAGAAUGAAUUCUCUGUAACUUUUAAGUAAGUAAGAGUUAGAUUCAUUAGGGAAAAGUGGGUCCCCACUCAGCCACAGUCUCACAUGCUUUCUAGGGAGGGAAGAAGGAGAUGAAGUCUGAGCUAAUUUGCUGGGAAGCAUGUUCAGGAUGCACCAGGGCAUCAAAGUGAAACAGAAGCUCCUCAUCUCUCCGGGGUUCCAGCUUCCCUCUGUGUUUGUUCCCUCCUUUCUCCCACCGUCGCAGCCUCACUCCCAGUUAUGGCUGGUUAAGGAUACGAGACAUUACGAGUGAGGGCUCUGGAUCCAGACUUUCCGGGUUCAGAUACUGGCUCCGCCAUUUAGGCAACUGCCUUAAUUUCUUAGAUUCCUCCUCUGUAAAACAUGGAAGAUAUCAAUGUUGAUAAAUGUGGGGUUAUUGUAAAGUGCUCAGAACUCCAUCAGGCACACUCAGCACUCAGUAUGUGUCAGCUUUUAUUAAAAUAUAUGACCUAUUUAAUUUUUUAAAAUUUCAUCAUCUCUUCCUAACUCCCAUGUAGGGAGAAUAGACAGUAAACUUAGGGUGAAUGAGAGAAAAGUGACUUGCUCGGUAUCUUUAGAAUUGUUGAUUAUUAAUGUAAAUGCAUCCUUUUUUUGGUGGGUUAGUUUCCAAGAUAAGGCCAUGUAGGCAUAGCACCGAUUAAAUUAAAUCCACACAUGACCCUCCCACAUCAUUUCAAACGUGAUCUUUAAUCUUCUUUCCUGAGAAACCAUUUUCUUUCCUGGGAUUCACAGAAAGAUUAUGUUUUACAUCAUGAAUGAGUACAUGCAACAUACACACAUAAUGAAACAACCUUUUUAUGAAACAGUAGUUACCCUAAGUGUGAUGAAAUCUUAAUUUCUAUUUUUUUCUAUUCUGUUGCAUUUUUGUAAAAAUGCUGCUUGCAAUACAUUAAAUUUAUUUUACAACUCACUAAUGGGUCAUCCUGAAGUUUGAAAAACACUGCAUUAGACCAGUUUGACUCUUGCCCAGAGCCAAGGCUGAGGGCUGGGGGGAAACACCAUUGGUUAUAACCUAUAUUCCCUUCCUUUUCAUGUUCUUUCCUAACUUCCCUGAUACUGGAACUGGAAUUCACCAGCUUUAAACACACGUAACAGUUAAAUGCCACCAAUCUAUUUAGUAAGGCCACAGUUAUGUUGUCAUUUAAAAGGCCUUUAAAUAUUGCUAUACAUUAGAUUCACUUAUAGCACAUUUGGAACAUUAAAAAAUGCAUAAAACUGAUAUCACUAUAAGAUAGGGUCCAGUUUAAGAUUAGGUAUGAUAAUAACACCCAGUUUUUUCAAUUGUGAUACCUAACUUCUGCUGUGUCCGCACCUCUCCCAUUAAAUAAAGGAUUAAGAGUGUCAUGCAGAAAUGAUUCUACUCGGGGCCGGCCCGGCGGCGCAGCGGUUAAGUGGGCACAUUCCACUUCGGCAGCCCAGGGUUCGCUGGUUCAGAUCCUGGGUGCAGACAUGGCGCCGCUUGGCAAGCCAUGCUGUGGCAGGCGUCCCACAUAUAAAGUAGAGGAAGAUGGGCACGGAUGUUAGCUCAGGGCCAGUCUUCCUCAGCAAAAAGAGGAGGAUUGGCAGCAGAUGUCAGCUCAGGGCUAAUCUUCCUUAAAAAAAAAAUAAAAGAAAGAAAGAAAUGAUUCUACUGUUAGCACAGAGCUCUGGAGAGCUGGUGCUUUGUCCUGAGCUGUCCACAGACUUUGAUUGUUCCUUCUUUGGCCAGCACCAUUGGUGUGGGAGCUUACUGCUUAGAGCUGUUCGUGCUUUGUGACCAUGAAGCUGAACACACACCACUACCCCAUACUGAGCCCUGAUUCCCUAUUCUCUUCAACUGAGUCACCUGCGAGACCAAAUAACUGCUUCUUUGAAAGACUGACAAGAAAAUUUUUACCAACUUCACCACACAAGGCCUUCCCAGAUUAUAGACAUUUGCUGUGCACGUGUUCUGGUCACGCGCAUGACCAGUGGCACGUUGCCUUUGGUCAGCGUCUCGUCCCCUUGUGCUCCACACAGCACCAUGCUCUCCUGGCUCAGGGAGUAUGAUGUCUAACCCAACACUUUUCCCAUCAAACUUGGCGGAACUCGGAUUGUUACAUUCUCUUCCUUGCCCGCCCCUUUUCAGGUCAUAGUCUUUGCUAAUUCCACACAUCUUCCUUUAUCCCAUUUUUUCUAUAUUUCAAGUAAAUCUCUCUCUUUCUACACUUUUUUUCUUUCUUAUCUAUUUGUUCAAUUUUGGAGAGUUCCCCAAUGGUGCUCGUCAUAGCUGAUAAGCUUGUAUAGGGGUUUAAUUGUUAUCAAAGGAAAAGAAGGCAGUAUAUUUGUUUGUUUAUUUAUGUUUCUUUUGAGGAAGAUUAGCCCUGAGCUAAUAUCUGCCGCCAAUCCUCCUCUUUUUGCUGAGGAAGAUUGGCCCUGAGCUAAUGUUCAUGCCCAUCUUCCUCUACUUUAUAUGUGGGAUGCCUGCCACAGUGUGGCUUGAUAAGCAGUGCGUAGGUCCACGCCUGGGAUCCGAACCUGCAAACCCUGGGUGGCAGAAGCAGAGUGUGUGAACUUAACCGCCGCGUCCCUGGGCCAGCCUCAAGAAUGCAGUAUAACUGGAGGUAAAGUAAGGCAUGAUAACUAGCAUCGUCAACUUUCAGCUCUCUUAAGUGUCUCAAUCUGGUUCAUCCUCUUCUGAUUAAACCUGCUUAUACAUUUGCAUACAAAAAAAUAAAAAUCAUUCUUAGUUCUAUUAUUUUAUUUUAUUCUUUUUAAAGAUUGGCACCUGAAAUAACAUCUGUUGCCAAUCUUUUUUCCUUCUUUUUCUCCCCAAAGCCCCGCAGUACAUAGUUGUCUGUUCCUAGUUGUGAGUGCCUCUGGUUGUGGUAUGUGGGACGCUGCCUCAGCAUGGCCUGAUGAGCGGUGCCAUGUCCGCACCCGGGAUCCAAAUCAAUGAAACCCUGGGCCACCCAAGCGCAGCUUGCGAACUUAACCACUCAGCCACUGGGCCGGCCCCAUUAGUUCUAUUAUUUUAUUCCUAAUAUGAUUACACAUUUACAGUAUACAUUUCAUUUCAGAAAUACAGUAUUACAGAUACGUUAUAAGUGAAAUAAAUUUUUGUGGAAUGACCUGGGUUCUAACUAUUAUUAACAGGAUCAUUCCUAAGGGAAAAGUAGUUCCAGUCCUAAACCACCAACAUAGACGCAUUUUGGGAGCAUACCAGGUGUUUGAGGACUGCUUAAUGUCAUUAUUUCUCUUAACCGUGCUUCUGUUCCUGGAAAGAGAUUGACUAUUUAAGUACUACUUGAGUGCUUCCAUAAUUAUUUUCAAUAAUAGAUUAAAAUGGAAAUCAUAGGAGAAUUCAGAGUCUUCUGAAAAGAAGAAUGUGGUGAAGCAUGGAUUUUGAAAUGACAAGUAAAUCACUUUAACCCUUUUAUGUAUGUGAGUGUUUGUGACACUGUCUUGGACAUAAAGUUUGCUACUUUACUGUGAGAGAGAGUUGAUUACAGAACACUGGGGCCUUUCCCUGAUUGAGGUUGGUGGUCAUAGGUGACUCAGGACAGCCCCUUCACUCUGGUCGUUCUCUCACAUGUCCGCUCGAAAUGUGAUGGCUUUGCCUGAUAAGACAUACUACCUUUUUUUGAGACUGGGAAACAGCAGUCAGAAAAUGUUUAAAAAGAAAAGCUAUUACAUUUUCCAGAAUUUACAUAUUACGUAUUACAUAUCUGCUAUUACAUAUUAGCAGAAUUCUAGAAGUAUUAGCUCUUCAUGAAGGCAUUUCAAUCUUUGUUCUCUGUGCUAAGCUGGUAUUAAUACAUUUGUUGAUAAGGAUUACCUAGCAGCGCUUUAAAUUCAUUCCUCAUUUUAAAUCUCAGGGUAAUAUCUUUUUUCUUUUGUCUUGAGUUCUGGUUAUAUAGUCUGAAACUUAUUGUACCAUAUGUAGCAAGCUAAUGGCCACUGAUGAAAAUGAAGUCAUGGCAAGGAGUCUCAUAUAUUGCGAAGAUGUUCUCAUUCAUUUAAAAUGCAUUAUCCUAACAAAAUUUUGUGUUUAUAAACUCAGCUUGAACUUGCAAAUAUACUAAGGGUAUUGUUGCCAAAGAGAUACAAAUAGAGAUGAUAAUUUUUACGUUAGGGUCCACACAAACAUAUUAAGAGUCCUUUAGGGCCGACCCCGUGGCCUUGUAAUUAAGUUCAGCACAUUCUGCUUGGUGGCCUCGACCUAUGUUCACGGUUUGGAUUUUGGGUGCAGACCUACACCACUUGCUAAUCUGUGCUGUGGUGGCAGCCCACAUACAAAAUAGAGGAAGACUGGCACAGAUCUUCCUCAGGGCAAAUCUUCCUCAAGCAAAAGAAGAGAGGGAGAUUGGCACCAGAUGUUAGCUCAGGGUGAAUCUUCUUCAGCAAAAAAAAAGAAGAAUCCCUAAGCUUAAUGUAGUAAGCAGCAUUUGAAAUAUGACUUGACAUGGCUUUUUAAAAAUUAUCUGUAUGCCCAGCUUUGAAACACAAAGGCAUACAGAGAAUAAAAUGUACAAAUUUUUAAAAAUCAUCAAGAUCUGAAACAAGAUAAAAUAGAUCCUUUGGGGUUUGGCAGUGUUGCAUCAGUAGCCACCCUAGGGGGUGAGAUGAGUAAGCAGACCCAAAGAAGGAAGGACUCUGCAUCCUCUAGCCCACCACAUCAACCGAGGAUGCGCUGCUUUCAUCUAGUGUGCAUGUUGGGCUUUCAUCUAAGAUUUCAUUUGGGGGAUAAAAAGGGGUCCCAGUGGGGGCUGGCCCCAUGGCCGAGUGGUUAAGUUCGCGCGCUCCACUACAGGCGGCCCAGAGUGUCGUUGGUUCGAAUCCUGGGCGCAGACAUGGCACUGCUCAUCAAACCACACUGAGGCAGCGUCCCACAUGCCACAACUAGAAGGACCCACAUGAGGAAUAUACAACUAUGUAUGGGGGCGGGGGGCUUUGGGGAGAAAAAGGGAAAAAAUAAAAAUCUUAAAAAAAAAAAAGGGGUCCCAGUGCUCACAUGCAGUUUGAGAACCACUGCCCUGACAGACCCAGAGUUUACCUAUUAGGCAAAAUACUUGGAACACCAAAUACACUAGAUCAGCACGUAGUAAAAAGUUAAAGGUAUAAGGUCAGCUUCCUUAUUGUCCUGUCUGUCAGGAUGUCAGAGUGCACAGUCAUCCUCAAACACGGAGGGGAGCGCUUGGAAGAGCUUGUUCCCGAAUACACUGUGUUCUCAGUUGGGCUCCCCUCCUCCAGAAAGUUUCCCAAGGAACUUUAUGCAUAUUGGAGGAAAAGUUAAAACCCUUUUUAUUAAAGCAAAACAUAAUUUUCAUAGUUGUUGGUGAUGUUCAAAUAACAUUUUUCUAUUCAUAUUAGAAUAAUGGGGCUCUGCCCCAGCACUUCGGAGUGAAGUAAAUUGACUGGUUAAAUGGAGAAGAGACGGUGGACUCUGAAUUUUCUGAAAGUUCACACAGUCUUAGGUUGGAUAAAGAAGGAACCAAGAACAGGAAAUAUGGAAGGAUGAUAUCAUUGUAAAUACAUUUCUGACAGUGUUACUCAAUUUCCUUUUUCCAAAUCAUUUAUGUUCAGAGGGUGAUGGGGGUGGAGGUGGCACGUCGAGUCAACUCAGAGUCUUAGAGAAUGCAUGCUGGUGUGUCCCGUGUGUCAGAUGUUGACUCCUGAGUCUGUGUGUUCAUACACUUCUGAAGAAGUUAUUUUUUGGUGAGACUUGUAUGGCACAGGAAACUCUAUAUAAAGUUCUUGAUGUGGUGCCUGGAAUAUACUAAGCAGUCAGUAAACAUCAGGGUCCUUUCUCCCUCAUCUUCCUCCUCUUGUUUUGAGCAGCAUAUUUUUUUGUUUUCCAGUGGUAGCAUCUUUUCAUGUAAUGUUCAUACUCAACCUCACGUACUGCAUUUCUCAGGAUCUGCACCUUGAGCUUUUCUCUGUCAGUGGAGUAGUAGAGGUGAAUGGGGAGGGGAGGUCAGACAAACCCAGACUGGCCCUCUUUUUCCUGGAGUUAAAGCCACAGAUUGUCCUGAGGAGGUGUUCGUGUUCUUACUGCUUUUAAUUUCAGCGGUAAUCAAAAACAAAAUAAAUGAAUAAACAAGGAAGGUGGGAGCAGCUAUAAUCAGCUGUUCACUUCCAUUGACAGGAAGAGUAGUCCUCAAACUUUAAAGAAUAUAAGAAUAACCUAGAAUGCUGAUUACCGUGCACAUUCCUGGGCUCCAUCCCAGAGAUUCUGAGUCCCAGUCUUAGAUCAUUCUAAUGCACAUGGUCCAAAGACUGCAUGUUGAAAGCCUCUAAUUCUAGAAAGAUCAGUUACACCAUUGCUCCAUUAUUCCUGGUUUUAAUUUCUAAGUCAAUCAUCAGUGUAGCACAAAGAUUAAAUUUCUCUUGACAGUUUUUACCAUUCCAAAACCACAGCUCAGGAUUCUUCUCUUAAAAAUACGUGUACCAUGCCUAUACCUAUGUAUUAUUCUUGGGCAGUCAUAUAGCACAAAAAAACUUUGGCAACGGUGUGAAAUUUAUUUGUAAGUUGCCAGUGUCGGCGUAGUAAUUCUUUUUUCAUUGGCAUUGCCUGUGAAGGAGUCAGACCUCACUGUGGUUUGUUCUCCCUGUGGUUUCCUUAGCGUUAGGGAGAAUGCUACAGAAAAACGAACCCUUUCUAGUUUUGACUCACUCAGGAGUGGUGUGUCUUUCGUCUUUCUGAGAUGGGAUGUAAUAGGCAUGCCCCGAAGGUGGCAAAUCAGACUUCCACACGCGUUGCCUUCACUUAGCCAAUAGCUUGCUCAGAACGCAUAUAUUACGAAGUGCAGUUUCAUUCAUCAAGGGGAUUUCGGGCUCCACCGGCAAUCAGCGCUGAGUCUUGGGUGACCGCUGGGCUUUGGGUUUUGCACUGACUCCUCCGUAGAAACAAGGAGGUGCAUCUGGCUGAUGGAAGAGUUAAUGGUAAUCCAGGAAUUGGGAAAACAACGUAGUGUGGUUUUCAUUGUUAGUCCUGGAGGAUUCCAAAAUCUGUGUCUGCAAAUAAGAUGAGCUGGAGCGACGUGCUGUGCCACUUGCUGUUUCUACUUGCCUGUUCUCCUAAUCGAAGUGAACCCCUUGCUUCCAGGACAAGCCCAGCCCGUGCUCGGGGACCCUCGUGUGACUGUUCCGUGCCCAUCUCUCAGAAGACUCCAAGCUCAGCUCCUCUGCCUGGGAUGGCAUCUCUGCACAUGCCCUUCUCUCUCCCUCGUCUGUCUACCUGCCAACACCUGCUCCUCCCUAAGAUUCAUCUCAGAAUUCAGCCUAGAGUCCUCCAGAAAGCCGUGUCUGACAUUUCAGAGCCGCCACUCCCUCCUCACUCCUCACAGGUGCCGCCGCCUCUGGGGGACGUGCGCCUCUGCCACAGGGACCGUGUCUUUCUGCUCUUCACUGCCAGCACCUGACACA
rnacentral:lncRNA from 1 species